ensembl:lncRNA
AAGGCAUCGUGUGUUUUCGGGGCUGUAGGACCCCCCCGCCGGGCACCGUGUAUUUCCUGGGGCACCGGGCAUCUUUCCGGGCACCGGAUAUUUUCCAAGGCAUCGGGUGUUUUCGGGGCUGAAGGACCCCCCCUCGGGUAUUUUCCAAGGCAUUGGGUGUUUUUGGGGCUGAAGGACUCCCCCCUCGGGUAUUUUCCAAGGCAUUGGGUGUUUUCGGGGCUGUAGGACCCCCCUCCAGGUAUUUUCCAGGGCAUCAGGUAUUUUGGGGGCUGCAGGACCCCCCUCGGGUAUUUUCCAGGGCAUCGGGUGUUUUCUGGGCUGUAGGAUCACCCCUCGGGUAUUUUCCAAGGAACCGGGUAUUUUCGAGGCUGUAGGACCCCCCCCACACACACACACCGGGCACCGCAUAUUUCCCGGGUAUCCGGUAUUUUCCAGGGCGCUGGGUGUUUUCAGGGCUCUAGGACCCCCCUCCGAGUAUUUUCCAGGGCAUCGGGUGUUUUCCGGGCUGUAGGAUCACCCCUCGGGUAUUUUCCAAGGAACUGGGUAUUUUCCGGGGUGUAGGACCCCCCCRCCGGGCACCGCAUAUUUCCCAGGGCACCGGGCAUCUUUCUGGGCAUCCGAUAUUUUCCAGGACUYGGGGCAUUUUUGGGGCUGUAGGACCCCCCACCUCGGGUAUUUUCCAAGGCAUCGGGUGUUUUCCGGGCUGUAGGGCCCCCCUCGGGUGUUUUCCAAGGCAUUGGGUGUUUUACGGGGUGUAGGAACCCCCUCCGGGUAUUUUCCAGGGCAUCGGGUAUUUUCGGGGCUGUAGGACCCCCCCCCCGGGUAUUUUCCUGGGCAUUGGGUAUUUUCAGGGCUGUAGGAUCCCCCCCGCUGGGUAUUUUCCAGGGCAUCGGGCAUUUCCGGGGUGUAGGAGCCCCCCCGAGCACCGGGUAUUUUCCAAGGCAUCGGGCAUUUUCCAGGGUGUAGGAGCUCCCUCGGGCACCGGGUAUUUUCCAGGGCACCGGGUAUUUUCAGGGCUGUAGGGGCCCCCCCUCGGGUAUUUUCCAAGGCACCGGGCAUUUUCGGGGCUGUAGGACCCCCCUCGGGUAUUUGCCAGGGUACUGGAUAUUUUCGGGGCUGUAGGACGCCCCUCCGGGUAUUUUCCAAGGAACCGGGUAUUUUUGGGGAUGUAGGACCCCCCCCCCGGGUAUUUUCCAAGGCACUGGGCAUUUUCGGGGCUGUAGGACCCCCCUCGGAUAUUUUCCAAGGCACCGGGUAUUUUCCAGGGUGUAGGAGCUCCCUCGGGCACCGGGUAUUUUCCAAGGCCCCGGGUAUUUUCGGGGCUGCAGAACCCCCCYGGACCCGGGUAUUUUCCAGGCUGGGGGGCAUUUCCCGGGCCGUUCCGGGGCACCCUUGUCCGGGGGGGGGGGGUGACGGAGUCUCCGCCGCCCCCGUGAAUUCACCGCCGCGUUUCUCCGCUUUUCCAGUGGUCAUCGAAGACGACAGGAUCGACGACGUGCUGAAAAACCUGGCGGAAACGGGGGGGGCGGGGGGGGCGCUCGGCUUUUUUCUAACCGUGCAGUCCGUAGUGUGGGCAAUUUGGGUUUUUUUUUCUGUAUAUCGUGGCGGUUUAUUCUCUUUAAUAGACUGUAUUAAAAAGGGAAAAAAUAGAGUAACGGCAAGAAAAAAAAUCUAAUGUAAUCACAGAGUGCCAAAUCCCUCGCGAUGCCAAGCGGCAGCCUCUUUCCUCCCUCCUUUCCGUGCUUUUGGAGGCCACGUAAAGUGGCGUUUUGGGCUUUCUGGUUAUUUCUGGGGGUCUCCCGGUAUCUCGGCGUCUCCAUCGAGCUCGCCGGGGGAUUUUUUUUUUUUGCUUUGACUUCUCUUUUCUAUAUAUCUAUUUUUUAAUAUUUUUGCAUGAUGUGCGAGGGAAAAGGGAACCCCCCCCCCCCCCAAACGCAGCCGCUCCGCGCGAGGGCAUCGCCGGCCGUUUCCGACGCCGAGCCGGACCUCGAGGCUGGGUUUUCCCUUUUUCCCUGUCUCCUAUUCUGAAAUAUUGUCUCUGUUGCACUUGGAUCCACUACACAGGGCUAUUUCUGCAAUGUUCGAAUAAAAACAAAGGAAAAAAAAGAAGGAAAAUGAAG